rnacentral:rRNA from 1 species
UGGCGAACGGGUGAGUAACACGUGGGUGAUCUGCCCUGCACUCUGGGAUAAGCCUGGGAAACUGGGUCUAAUACCGGAUAGGACCAUGCUUUAGUGUGUGUGGUGGAAAGUUUUUCGGUGUAGGAUGAGCCCGCGGCCUAUCAGCUUGUUUGUGGGGUAAUGGCCUACCAAGGCGGCGACGGGUAGCCGGACUGAGAGGUUGGUCGGCCACAUUGUGACUGAGAUACGGCCCAG